rnacentral:rRNA from 1 species
AUUGAACGCUGGCGGCAGGCCUAACACAUGCAAGUCGAGCGGAUGAAGUGAGCUUGCUCCUGGAUUCAGCGGCGGACGGGUGAGUAAUGCCUAGGAAUCUGCCUGGUAGUGGGUGAUAACGUCCGGAAACGGGCGCUAAUACCGCAUACGUCCUGAGGGAUAAAGUGGGGGAUCUUCGGACCUCACGCUAUCAGAUGAGCCUAGGUCGGAUUAGCUAGUUGGUGGGGUAAAGGCCUACCAAGGCGACUAUCCGUAACUGGUCUGAGAGGAUGAUCAGUCACACUGGAACUGAGACACGGUCCAGACUCCUACGGGAGGCAGCAGUGGGGAAUAUUGGACAAUGGGCGAAAGCCUGAUCCAGCCAUGCCGCGUGUGUGAAGAAGGUCUUCGGAUUGUAAAGCACUUUAAGUUGGGAGGAAGGGCAGUAAGUUAAUACCUUGCUGUUUUGACGUUACCAACAGAAUAAGCACCGGCUAACUUCGUG